rnacentral:rRNA from 4 species
CAAAAAAUGCCCAGCCCCCUGAGUAGGGGGCAGAAAACCUAAGCCGCCUGGUGGAUGGCUCGGCUCGGGGCGCCGACGAAGGGCGUGGC